UCGAGAAUCUUUCACAAUGGGGGCAACCCUGAUGGAGCGACGCCGCGUGGAGGAUAAGGUCUUCGGAUUGUAAACUCCUGUCAUGCGUGAACAAGGUUGCUUGGUUAAUACCUGGGCAAAUUGAUGGUAACGCAAGAGGAAGAGACGGCUAACUCUGUGCCAGCAGCCGCGGUAAUACAGAGGUCUCAAGCGUUGUUCGGAAUCACUGGGCGUAAAGGGUGCGUAGGUGGCGUGGUAAGUCAGAUGUGAAAGCCCGGGGCUCAACCUCGGAACUGCAUCCGAUACUGCCAUGCUAGAGUACUGGAGAGGUGACUAGAAUUCUCGGUGUAGCAGUGAAAUGCGUAGAUAUCGAGAGGAAUACCAAAGGCGUAGGCAGGUCACUGGACAGUUACUGACACUGAGGCACGAAGGCCAGGGGAGCGAACG
rnacentral:rRNA from 1 species